UUUGUAUGAGCCGUAACGCUUAAGCUUACUCCCCCCCUCCCCCUAGAGCGUUACGUAAUUUGUGGAUGCCGCCUAAUUGGGAUUGGAAAUAAUGGACCUUGCUAUUGUUGAAGUCGUUUUCAAUUUUUAUUUAGUGAAGAGUAAUAUACCGAUACGACCACUUCAGAGCUGAUAGCGGCUAAGUGUCUGAAGAACGAACAUGCCUAAAAAAUGAAACCAAAAUGAGGCUGUACAGGAACCACAUUUCAAUUCAAGUAAUCAAGUAAUCCAAACAGACAACUCUCAAAGCGUUUUUCUAAAAGUUUUUGUAUGAUUUAAUGAUUUUCUUCAGAAAUGUCAUCAGAAUGUAAUUCAGACUUUCUCCAGAACAUUUAUUCGAGGAACCUAGAAAAACUCAACCAGAACUUAUUCCAAUGAUACCCAAAGGAGUCUUCAAAGAAUUGUUACAAGAUUUCACUAGGAAUUUGAAAAAAAUCCUAGAAAAUCUCGAGUGGAACUCUUUGAGGGGCUAUAGGAAUAAUUGCUGUAGGAUUUUGUGUUUAAACUAAUUAAAUUUUGAAAUUGAGAAUCCAAGAAAA